CCAGCAAGGAAAGGCACAGAUUAGCAGUGGUGGCAAUAGAGCCAGAAUGACCAGGGGCAUUUGGCGUAGCUCCAGUUGCAUUGUUGGCGGCCAUGUUUGCAACAGGAGGCAGAGGAGGAUCAAUCACGUCUUUGGCGUCAAGAGGUGGGCUUGGGGCACUAGCUGGUGGCUGUGCUUCCUUGUUUGCCACGGAGAUUAGAGAGCCAGCCUCUGCAGGUAAGAUGGCAUAGGGCUGCUCUUUGUCUAAAUCUGAGCAUGGACUCCCUGCAUUUGCAUCAAAUGUUAAGCAUCAGCUUUUGUGUUGUUAAAUGAUCAACAUUAUCUUUGUUAUGUGUAUAUAUUGGUUCUUUCAUGAAUCUUGUAGAGGUUUAGAAUUUACUUAAGUAUCUGGUGGCGGUGGCAGGGAACUCCGUGAUGACUCCAUCAACACCAUUCCCUGCAAUGAAUGUGGCAAACUCUACAGUAGGAUCAGAGAAGUAGUCGAACGCUAUGGAGAUAUACUCGUUCCUUAGCACCGAGACAUAAACAGAGAUAUUCCCCUUGUGCAUUUCCUCCACUACGUUGGUCUUCCCUGCGGCAAAGCUUCCGGAGAUGGUGACGAGAGAACUUCUCAAGAUAUUGACAGCAUCUGCAUGCUUCUUGAUUUCGUCAACGGAUGCCUUGGGAGCAUCUCCUAUUUCCUUGUCGAUGCUCAAGACUCUAGUGUAGGGAGGGACAGCCUCAAAACCGGCCAGAACUGAACUGUCAUCUGACUGAAUCAAUACCCUUUGGGUUGUUUGCUUGUCGAGUGUGGAUUUGGUCAGAGCGGACUUGACUGCGUCUACGAUUCCUAAGCCUUUCUUUGAGGCUAAAUAAGCAGCAUUCUGUCAAAACAAAAAAAACAAGGCGUUAGUGGUGAUGCUUUGAGUAAGUUAAAGGAGCAUUAAUGAAAAAAGGGGCAUAUGCCUGGAUGUUGACAAGAACUCCAGUGACUGCCUUUUCUUUGCUGAACUUAAGGAAGUCAUCAAGAGUUACGAACUUCCCGGCAUUCUUGUUUGCUGGGUUUCUCGAGAUUCCCACCUUAGCUAUGAAAGGGCUCUGGAUUUGAGCUGUAGGCAGAGACAUCCCACUGUCAUGAUCCAGAUCUUCCCCCAGAGCUAGCUGCAGCAACAGGGGCGCAGGGUGUUCCUGUUGAUUCUUCAAAUUUAGUGAAGGUAGAAACUGCUCAAGUUGAUUCAGCUAAAGUACCAGCUCAUGUUCGACCUGCACUGGUAUGUUUCCUACCGCCUUUGUUCUCAUUUAAAGUAGCAUCGUCUAUAUGUGGUUUUCUAUAUUGUAUAUCAAAGCUGGAACGUCGUGGCUAUACAUUUUUCUUGUUACUAUCUAAAGCUUGAGAGUAUUGGAUGAUUUUUUUACUUUUGGUUAUUUCAGCCCCCUGGAAGACCGAUACCUGUGGAGACUGGUUCUGGUGAGCGUCAGCCAUCCGUUGAUACACGUGCUCCUCGAAUGCGUGAUCUAGAUGCUAUCAUUGAGGUUGAACAUGUCUCAAAUCUCUCUUUAUUUUGGUUUUUACUGGUGAGGCAUAGUUGCAUGCUAUAAUGUCUGCUACUAAUUGAAAUCGAUUUUGUUGCCAGAUUGUAUGUCAGGAUUCACACGAGGAUGCGCCUUCGGGUGAAAAUGACACAGAACCAGCUGUUAGUAGCCUUCCUAUAGAAAAUGUUCCAGUUGAGACUGGGUACGUUAACAGCAGAAGACCAGACGGGGAAUCUGCUGAACGAAGUCCUACCCAGGAUGAACCACGUAAAAGGCUUCUCAGAAAGCAAGACGAUGAGAUCUCUAGAAGCACUGGUAGUGGCCAGAGUUUUCGUUCGUCGUCUCCUGUUGGGGACAGAGGCACAAUGUCAUCAAGUGUUGAUCGUGAAGAUAUGGGAGGCGUAGCCGGCAAAGAUGCUGAGAUGGAAGAGGAGCGUAAAACGAGUUCUGCAGUUCAAGAAGAUGAUGGAGGGGAAUCAAAGACGGAGAGAAGUAGUGGAAACAGCAAAGCAAGAUCUGAAAGUCACAGAGAUCAUCAGCAAUUGAAGGAUAGUGCAGAACAGGAAGUUAUUCAAAAUAAGCAUUCUACUCGACCAGCUAGCAGUAAGAAACAUCACGAUAACAGUGCACCGUAUCAGAGCAGAAAGAAUCAAGACAGAGGGAAAGAAAUGGAAAGAACUCGAGCGGCGAGCAAAGGUGGUAGGGAGUACUCAAAUCCUCAUACGGACGUUGAUUACUCAAUUGCAAGGGGCGACGAUUAUGAUAGAAGGAAAGAGCGAGAUGUUGAUGGGGGGUUCUGGCGCAGGAAAGAGGAUGACCCAUUCAGUAGAAGAGGUGGGGAUGAAGGGUUUAGAAAAAGGGAUCGUGAAGAGGAUCUGGGCUCUAAGCAGAGGGGUAAAAUGAGAGAGAGUGACAUACGCAACAAAGAUGAUCAUCAUGUUCCAUCGAGAAAGCAUUUGGACGAUGGUGGUUUAAGAAAUAGUUAUGAACUGGAUGAUCACAUCGGGAAGAGGAGGAAGGAUGAAGAAUACUUAAGAAGAAACCGCUCUGAAAAGAACGAAAUCUCAUAUGGUCAAAGAGAAUCAUCAACCAGCCGCCUGAAACGAGAACGGGGUGAUAGGUUGGACCAUCAAAAGAGAGAUGUCCAACAUAAAAGCAGAGAUGAUUUUGAUGACCACAGUUCUCUCAGGCACAGAGACGAUUUCUAUAUGCAGAGAGAUGGAAAUGACAGGUUGAGAGAGCGCGAGGGUAUGGAUAAAUUGAAAUUAACUCAGGAGGAUGGCUUAUCAGCACGAGGAAGAGAGAGGCAGGUACCUACUACAAGGGGUCAUAGAGGCUCAGAAGACCGAUCAUCAUCGAUGAUGAAGGAUGAUUAUAAAACUUCUGAGAAAGAGCAUCUCACAAAAGAUUCAACAAGGCAUAGUAAACAGACGAAGAGAAGGGAAUAUCAUGGUGAAGAAAGUUCUCAUCAUAGAGGACACAGAGACUUCUCUGCACGCACAGAUGAGACUGCUAACAAUGAGAAAAUGCCAAGGCAGGAGAGAACAAGUGCUAAAAGUGACAAUGUUAUUAAUUCUUUGGACGGCCAGCAGUUGCAAGACAGAAAACAUAAAGAUUCCAGACGAAAGAUUAAAGAACAACGAGAGGGUGCCGAUUCAGUGAGGAGCAAGCAAGGAGAAGAAAAUGGCAGUUCAGAAGUAACGGUAUGCUCUAUCAGCCUAUCAACUUAUUACUCUCAUCCAAGUUUUGUAAACUUAACGUAACAUGGUUAUCGUGAAUGCAUUAGACUUUACAAAGUAUUUUGUUCCUGUGAUUAACCUCACCUAAUAAUAUAUCUCAUGGGUUUGGUCACUUUUAAUAUGCCUCAACGGGUCAGUAUUGAUGCUUCUUUCAUGCCUUCCAGGGCUCAAAAGGUAAAAACGAAGCAAGAAAUCACAGGAGUGAGAUCCCACAGCAGACUAACGCCACCAAAAGACACAAGGAGGAUGCUUCAUCUGGUGAUGAGCUGCAAGAUUCAAAGAGAGGACGUACGAAAAUGGAGCGUUGGGCAAGCCACAAAGAGAGAGAUGAUGUUGUCACUGUCACGGCAUCGUCCACUUCUUCAAAACUUCAAGAGAAGGAAAAAGGCACUAACGGCCGAGUUCUCGAACCUGUCCAUGACAAGAAUCGGGAUUUAACUGAAGAGAAAAGUAGCCAUGACCUUGCAGAGACCAAAGAUAGAAGCGAGAAGGGACCUCCAGGAGAUCGGCACUUGGACACGGUUGAGAAACUCAAGAAACGUAGUGAACGGUUCAAACUUCCAAUGCCCACGGAGAAAGAUACCACAGUCGUAAAGAAAAUGGAGUCUGAGACGCUGCCCUCUGCAAAAAUUGAAGGCCCUGUGGAUUCAGAGGUGAAAGCAGAGCGGCCAGCAAGGAAAAGACGGUGGACAAGUAGCUGAGAGCCUGGCUCUCUUUGGCUGGAUCGAGGGGUAGCUUCUUAUACUUAAACGGAUGGCAUGAGAUUCUCGCAUCCCACGGAGCAGUUGUUGCCGUGGAGGAUCAAGUUCCAUGAAGAUUAAUUAGAAGAGCUUAGGAAGAGUGUGUGGGAGUGAGCUAUGUUGUGUAAGAAUAAUACGCAUAAGGAUUUUACUUUGAGAGAAUACUCUUUUGUAGUAGUUGAUGUAAACUUUUGUCAAAGAUUAUUUGGUCUUUUAGUUUUGUUCACAUACUAAGCGCCUCAAGAGAGAGCGAGGAUAUUUAUAAAGUACUCGAGGCAUUGUAUUUUACUGUAGUAAUUUUGUUACUGUUUUUUGUAAACAACCUUUUGAACACUUGACAUUUGUAUUUUCCUUUUUCCAGGUUUAUUAUGAGGAGACAGCAACAACUAUGAAAGUAGAGACUGCUUGAUGGAGAAAGGCUCGUAAAUAGAAUACGAGCUUAUUAUCACGUUUCAAAAUCUCUUACGAAAUCAAAACUUUCCUAUUACAAACAAACAAAGUUUCUUUAGAGCUUUGAUCUAUAGUAAUAAAUCACUGUUUUGCGGCAUAUAUUGUUUAAAAUGAAUAAAACGUAAAUAGCUCAAGUUUCGAAAAUGCUGAGGGCGGGCAUGUUACAACGUAUGAAGUUAUAUGGUGUGAUUAAAUUUUUAUUCAGUGGCAAAGAGGAAUCCCAUAGCCAGUAUUGCCAGCAAGGAAAGGCACAGAUUAGCAGUGGUGGCAAUAGAGCCAGAAUGACCAGGGGCAUUUGGCGUAGCUCCAGUUGCAUUGUUGGCGGCCAUGUUUGCAACAGGAGGCAGAGGAGGAUCAAUCACGUCUUUGGCGUCAAGAGGUGGGCUUGGGGCACUAGCUGGUGGCUGUGCUUCCUUGUUUGCCACGGAGAUUAGAGAGCCAGCCUCUGCAGGUAAGAUGGCAUAGGGCUGCUCUUUGUCUAAAUCUGAGCAUGGACUCCCUGCAUUUGCAUCAAAUGUUAAGCAUCAGCUUUUGUGUUGUUAAAUGAUCAACAUUAUCUUUGUUAUGUGUAUAUAUUGGUUCUUUCAU
rnacentral:lncRNA from 1 species